rnacentral:rRNA from 1 species
AAUCAACGCUGGCGGCGUGCCUCAGACAUGCAAGUCGAACGAUUAAGACUUCCUUCGGGAAGUGCAUAAAGUGGCGCACGGGUGAGUAACACGUAAGUAAUCUACCCUCGAGUGGGGAAUAACAGUCGGAAACGACUGCUAAUACCGCAUAAUGCAGCGGCACCGCAAGGUGACAGUUGUUAAAGGAGCAAUCCGCUUGAGGAGGGGCUUGCGGCAGAUUAGCUAGUUGGUAAGGUAACGGCUUACCAAGGCUACGAUCUGUAUCCGGUCUAAGAGGACGGUCGGACACACUGACACCGAGUAACGGGUCAGACUCCUACGGGAGGCAGCAGUCGGGAAUGUUGGGCAAUGGGCGAAAGCCUGACCCAGCAACGCCGCGUGAAGGAUGAAGUAUUUCGGUAUGUAAACUUCGAAAGAAUAGGAAGAAUAAAUGACGGUACUAUUUAUAAGCUCCGGCUAACUACGUGCCAGCCGCCGCGGUAAAAC